rnacentral:rRNA from 1 species
CGGACGGGUGAGUAACGCGUGGGUAACCUGCCUCAUACAGGGGGAUAACAGUUAGAAAUGACUGCUAAUACCGCAUAAGCGCACGGUACCGCAUGGUACAGUGUGAAAAACUCCGGUGGUGUGAGAUGGAUCCGCGUCUGAUUAGGUAGUUGGUGAGGUAAUGGCCCACCAAGCCGACGAUCAGUAGCCGACCUGAGAGGGUGACCGGCCACAUUGGGACUGAGACACGGCCCAA